rnacentral:rRNA from 1 species
UCCGCCAGGGGACUACAAGCGCUAGCUUAAAACCCAAAGGACUUGACGGUGUCUCAGACCCACCUAGAGGAGCCUGUUCUAGAACCGAUGACCCCCGUUAAACCUCACCAUCUCUUGCCUCUUCCCGCCUAUAUACCGCCGUCGUAAGCUUACCCUGUGAAGGACUAAUAGUAAGCAAAAAGGGCAAAACCCAGAACGUCAGGUCGAGGUGUAGCUUACGAGAUGGAAAGAAAUGGGCUACAUUUUCUGAAACAGAAUACUACGGAAAGCGCCGUGAAACCAGCGCUCGAAGGUGGAUUUAGUAGUAA